GAUGAACGCUCGCGGGAGGCCUAACACAUGCAAGCCGAGCGGUAUUUGUUCUUCGGAACAGAGAGAGCGGCGCACGGGUGCGGAACACGUGUGCAACCUGCCUUUAUCUGGGGGAUAGCCUUUCGAAAGGAAGAUUAAUACCCCAUAAUAUAUUGAGUGGCAUCAUUUGAUAUUGAAAACUCCGGUGGAUAGAGAUGGGCACGCGCAAGAUUAGAUAGUUGGUGAGGUAACGGCUCACCAAGUCAAUGAUCUUUAGGGGGCCUGAGAGGGUGAUCCCCCACACUGGUACUGAGACACGGACCAGACUCCUACGGGAGGCAGCAGUGAGGAAUAUUGGACAAUGGGUUAGCGCCUGAUCCAGCCAUCCCGCGUGAAGGACGACGGCCCUAUGGGGUGUAAACUUCUUUUGUAUAGGGAUAAACCUACUCUCGUGAGAGUAGCUGAAGGUACUAUACGAAUAAGCACCGGCUAACUCCGU
rnacentral:rRNA from 1 species